rnacentral:rRNA from 1 species
UACGAAGGGGGCUAGCGUUGCUCGGAAUCACUGGGCGUAAAGGGCGCGUAGGCGGCCAUUCAAGUCGGGGGUGAAAGCCUGUGGCUCAACCACAGAAUUGCCUUCGAUACUGUUUGGCUUGAGACCGGAAGAGGUAAGUGGAACUGCGAGUGUAGAGGUGAAAUUCGUAGAUAUUCGCAAGAACACCAGUGGCGAAGGCGGCUCACUGGCCCGGUACUGACGCUGAGGUGCGAAAGCGUGGGGAGCAAACAGG